UUCAGCAGGAUGUGUGACAUGCUUUUCACAGCAACCUCUCACCCCCUUGCUGAAUUUAUCUUCUUUCUUGACAACCAUUGUCGACAAUGGAUUGACAUGGAGAGAAUAUACAUUAAGGUAAAGAGUAUGCAUAAGCUUGCUUCCACAUCUUUCUCAGUCUCUCGCUCUAUUUCUUCUGAUUAGCUUAUUGGUGAAUUCUGAAGCUUUCUUGAUUGGAUCAGUGGUCGAGACGAUAGAGAGCCUUGCAUUGGAGACCACAAAGAGGCGUACCUAUAAAAUCUGUGUCUAUACAUUACUGAUUACUCCCUGGGCUCUUUGAAUAUUUCCUCCAUCCCUAAGUGUUGAUUAAGAGACAUACUUCUUGCUUCUCUUUGCUUAAUUAAUAACCAUUUCCAGCUUUUUGUAGAUAUCCAAAGGAAUCAGACAAAAUCAUGCUUGCGAAGCAGACUUCCUCAGGGUGAUUAAGUUGCUUAACUAGACAAUAAGAGUGGUGCUCGAGUAUAUGAAUGAUCCAAAGGAACAUGGAAAGAAGAGAGGAAAUAAUCUUCUUGCUUCUGUGCAAGUGAUUGGAAGGGAGUUUUGAGUACUCCUUAUGGAAGAACAUUGAUAGUCUCUGUCACUUCAGCUUUCACUGAACAUUGAUAAUCCAGCCCUUUUGGGUCCACUUGCUUCUUACAAGUUAAAAUAUUUAGCAAUCGUCAAUAGCAGAGCUGAACAUUUGUUCGAAGUGAUCAACUCGAGAGAUGAUGUGCUUAGGACGUGGAUGAGACGGUAUAUGUAUCUCAGUUUUGAAGAAUAUGCAGGAGGAGGCUGUGAGGGAUGAUGAUAUUGUCUUCAAGGGUCUACCAUCCACUGAGCCAUUCUAGGUGUUCAAUGGGAUUAGUAAAUACUGUAAGAAGAGGGUUACAACUCCUGGUAUCAUCUCUCUGGCCAAGGGUGUGAAAGCAGAGUUUGAACCUCAUCCUCCGAUUGUUACUCAUGCUUGAAUGAUCUAACGAGCAUAGAGAUUCACCAAAAAUACCAGAUCGCUUGAUUGUGUGUAGUGGUUAGUAAGCAUCAUAGGCCGCUACUGUUUACCCAAUGCAUCCAUGGCUAGCCACCUCUUCUUACUAAGAAGCGUCAGCCCCAAUAAAUGGAAUUGUAAGGUUAGCUUCUUCGUAAGUUUCUCUUCGUGAUUCCAAUCUGAGGAGCGUAGAUAUGGGGAAAAAUAUAGCUCCAGAUGCAGAGCUUCACUUUUAUAUAGGCAAAGACAGAUUUGUGAGAAUAACUCUUUACACCGAAAGGUCGAUUCUUCUGAUGGCUUGCACACGGGUUAAUGGCAUCAACAAGCAAGGAAACAUCACUAUGCUAGAUAAAAAUGGAGGGGAGAAACAUGUGGUGAAUCUUCUGCAGAGCAAAAUAAAAAACAGAACCAUCUUAAUGUGGAGCAUCUUUGCCUCACGUCUGUGUAUUCCGUUCGACGUUGGCUAGCAGUGGCGGAAAGUUUUGUUCUAUUACUUGGGUUUUAAGUUAUCAUUUGGCUGCUGGAACAUGAGUUAAAAGAGACAUUGUCAUCUUCUUAUAUCAAAUCCAUGAAAAGACUAUCAGGAUUUACUGUGUUAUGGGUAAUUGUUAUAGCUUUCAAGAAAAUUAUGAGAUAUUGUGUUCAAAUGCAUUUCAAAAUAAGUGAAGAGAUUCUAAGAAAAGGUGCAGUUCUCUUAUUUGGCUUUGGGCACCUUCUGAUUUUUAGGAGUUUCUGCAAAUAGCUGGCGAAAAAAAAAGACUCUAGAUGCCAAUUUUCAUGGCAUGAGCAUGACGCACAUCAGUCAUCAAACAUCAUUAUAAGUGGCAUUUCAUAUAUAUUUUGAAAACCCAUUAGAUUCUUUAAUACUGUAAAUAAUAAGUUAGUUUUAAAAAACUCAAAAAUUCUAAAACCAAAAACAAAGCUUGAAAGUUUGAACCAGUUGUUAUUAACGAUGUAUUUUCAUGGAAUUCUAUGAAUAAUUUUAUCUAAUGUCCUUGAAGUACUUCUAAAUAUGAAUGAUGAACUGGAUUAUAAUUCAAAGUUAAAAAAAAUGUUUUAUUACACUCAUUUCAAAUUCGAUAUAGACAUAUUUAUAAUAUGGCGACAAUAUAUAUAUAUAUAUAUAUAUAUAUUAAAUACAAAAAUAUUUUUCAAAAUCCGGGCGUAGCCCGGAAGAAUCUCUAGUAUGUAUAAAUGUAAGUUAUUUUCUUUUAAAAGUACAUAUAUUAUAGCGACAAUGUCUAAAUGUGCUAAGACAUGAAAAAGUGCAUUUAUAUGUAAAUUUCUCUUGUUUAUUUUACUAUGUUUUAUAAUCCUUAAAUCUUGUGACUAAUACUGAAUUUGUUACCACAGUUCUUUAUACAACCAAAUUUACUCAAAAACCAACUGUGAUUUGGAUUAAUCAAAAAGAUAUUAAUAUUAAUACACCAGAAUAUCUGAAUUUUAAACAUAAUAAACUGUUCAUUUAUUAUAAUUCAACUGAUGGAAUAAGCUGAAAUAUAACAUGAUGCAAAUAAAAUUAUUUGCCCUGUUUGUAGUUUCUAUUGCUUUCUAAAAGCUCAACAGGAAGAAUCAACAAAAUGUUUUUUUUUUUAAUAUUUAAUUGAAAAACAAUAUACGCUAGGAUUUCAUUUCAAAGUGGAGUUUUUUAGUACAUGUUUUGACACUCAAAAUUUCAAGUCAGACCUUUCGGUAGUUUCUAACUUGUAUCAAUGGACUAGACGGAUUUCUAGGGAGAUUAUUUUGUUUUAUCUAUCUAGCAAACAAAAUUAGUUCAAAAGGUAAACAUUUUUCUCUUGAGAACUAAAAAGAACUUGAACAUUUUCUACCAUGCAUUCUUGUAGGCCUAAUGCAGAUACAUAGUAAAGGGCCCAAAAUAAGCGGGUCGCGAUUGCUCGAACAAGAAUAAACACCAGAGAGACAUAUUAACGCUUAGAUAACUAGCUUGAAUUGAACUUUGAUAACCUCUUUUCAGAUAUAUAGUGUUGAUCUCUUUAAUUUGUGUUGUGAAUUUUACGGGAGGAGUAAGUUUAUGAAUCUAGGCUCUAGCCUAAUGUUUUUGAGAUGUUCCUAAAAGAACAGUAGUAAACGUACGUGUAGAUUUCAAAUUUAUUAUUAAUGUAAAGAGAGAUUUGAAUGCGUUAUGAAACAGAGAAACCUCUAAAAGCGAAUGCUUUAAGGAACAGAGGAGCCCUUUCUUGGAAAUAGAAAACGAUUGGAAAGUUUCAACGAACGAUUCAAUGAUCCCAACACUAUAAAUUUUCUCAAUGCAUUUUCAUACGAUUAAUAAGAUCUAAUUUCUAAUUAAUUUGUUAAACUUAAAAAAUUAAAACUCGGCAAGAUAAAUGAAAAGUGAUUUAACAUUGCGUUUCCAGAUAUCAGAUACCUAACCACGAACUGUUACAACCAAAACAGCAGAACCAAACAUAACACAUAGAGAGAAACAUAAACCCGAACCCAGAAACGGACCAGACACAACAACAA